CUUAAUCUUCUUUUCUAGUGGGGAAAAGGGACCUGCUGCAAUCCAAGGAUCUUUAGUAUUUCUAGCCCAGUUCAAU
ensembl:misc_RNA